UACGAAGGGGGCUAGCGUUGUUCGGAUUUACUGGGCGUAAAGCGCACGUAGGCGGAUCGUUAAGUCGGGGGUGAAAUCCUGGAGCUCAACUCCAGAACUGCCUUUGAUACUGAGGAUCUUGAGUUCGGGAGAGGUGAGUGGAACUGCGAGUGUAGAGGUGAAAUUCGUAGAUAUUCGCAAGAACACCAGGGGCGAAGGCGGCGCACUGGCCCGAUACUGACGCUGAGGCACGAAAGCGUGGGGAGCAAACAGG
rnacentral:rRNA from 1 species